CAAAUUAAGGUGCACAACAAGUUGUUCGUGUCUUGUUUCCUUUGUUGGUACAGGAAGAGGGAAAUUGAAAAUGUAUUAAAGUUUGUUACAAGCUCCGGAACAUUUGCCGUAUUGCAAACAAAGUAUUAUUUGACAAGCUGUCUCCAUCCUACAGAACCAUGCUGAGCCUCUCCUAAGUUCGGUCUCCUCAAGUCUCUGUCUUCAAUUUUUAUUCAGUGCAAUUGCAAUGGACUCAACGGCUGUCUUACUGUCAUGCAUAGUAGCAAUCCAUUCACCAAAGUGCAUGCCAUAUUUCUAAGCGAAACCAGGCUGGAAAGGAAAAAAUUUCCCAGCUUUAACAGCUUCGUAUUCUAUCGCAAAGACAGAGAGUGUAGUGCAGUGGAGUCACCACUCUUAUUCUUUGUGAUCUCCCGCAAUGCGAAGUCUCCCUGGACCAUCUUUUGCACUACUCCCAUAUGAAGCUAUUGCCAUUAAAAUCACCUUUAAAGGAAACCCCUUCUCCUUAUUAAAGUCUACAAUCCCCCUCAGCAUCCACAAAUGCUAGUGGGAUCCCAGUUAAAAAAUUUCUUCUACAAUCCCAAUGAACUCUGAUGAACUAUCCUGCUCCUACUUACUGUCAUCAUUCUGGCAGUGUCAGCACCCUCGACCUUUCACUAAUUUCAUCCAAUUUCGCCAGUCGGCUUGCCUGGCAUGCACACCCCCACUCUUAUUGGUAGCAACCAUAUUCCUUUCUCCUUUACUUUCCUUCUUUCUGUCCUUCUCAGACUGUCAAGAAAAAGAUUCUUGACGGUUCUGAAAUUGUCUUUAAAAUAGCCAAAUUUUCAAACCGGGCCUCCUUCUCUUCCCUCUACAACUGCGAGGUAUUUUUCUCUCACCUUCAACAUGCUGCCUGUGAGAGCACCCAUAAAAUAACAGCAUCUGUCUGGAAGAAAAUCUUACUUCUUUUACUCUGCACAAUUAGAACUCAUUUCAAAAAGAUUGUAUGGCUCUAAAGGCCCAAUGGACCUAAGAGCUUAUCGCAGAGUAAAUGAAGUCAACCGACAAAUUAAAUACAUUGCAAAAAGUUCACAAUCAAUCGAUAUUGUUAUUCCUCACCAUCGACAUUCAAGAUGCCUUUCAUCCCCAAAAAGAGAUUUCUGCCAUAUUGUUUGAUCUAAAAAGUGCAUUUGACUCUGUUAAUCCUAGAGCACUCUUCUGAAAAUUUCUUAAACUUGGUUUUGGCACAAAAAUCAAUGAAUAUAUUAAAUUAUUUCUUUCUCCCUGUGAUUCCAGUAUCAAAUUUGGCUCUCAUCUUUCCAGUCCCUUCUCUAUGGAUCAUGGCACCCUACAAGGAGGCGUGCUCUCUCCUCUUCUCUUCAAUCUCAUGCUCAAUGACCUCCCUUCACUCCUCAAUGCUAUAUUUGCUGAUGAUAUUGCGAUUUGGUCUAUUUCAGACAAAGACGUUAAUUUGCAAUAUGCAAUCGACAAAGUCUGUGACUAUUGCACAGAGUGGGAUUUCUCCCUAUCCCCAGAGAAAUGCCAUCAUCUAUUCUUCUCCAAAAAAAAAACACCAUUCCUGCCCCCUUACACUCUUGAUCUAUGACCUCCCCAUUCCUAUUGCCUCUUACAAAUUUUCCGGAGUCACUCUUGACACCUCAUUUUCCUUCUUAUUUCACAUCAAACAAAUAACCUCAAAGACCAAAACCGCCUCCAACAUUCUUAAAUCUUGCACUGGCACUUCUAUUGGCCCUAACCCACCCUCACAGCUCCUUCUCUAUAUCUCCACUCUCUGCUUUACCUCCACUUACAGCCUUCCCUUGUGCAACCUGUCUAAUAAUAUACACAAACCUUUGGAAAUUGCCCACAAAAUGACCACUAAGAGAACUCUUGGACUUUUCCGCUUCACCCCCUCCUCUGAGGUUGAAUCUCAACAUAAACUUCUAUUUCUUAAAGCCCAACACCAGCUCCUUCAUCUUCUACAUAGAUCUACAUCUCAUCACACAAUCAUCCCUUGGCUCCUCUGCUGCUUUUACCAACUCGUUCAGGUAACAUCAGUGAAUUUUUUAAAAUUAAAACUCAAGAUUUUUCUUUGUUUAUAAAUCCCCAGUUUCUCCUAUCAAUUCUCCAGCACCCUCUUGGUGCUAGAUUCCCUCCCUUCCUUCAAAAUCCUCCUUACCCGACUUAGCCAUUCAGUCCCUUUGCCUGGACACACUAGCUAACCUUUCCCCAGACUCCAUUACCAUCUUCAUCAAUGGCUCACUUACUCGAAUUCAUAAUGGUGCAGCGUUUGUUGUCCCAAACUUUGGCUUUCAACAAAGUUUUGCCCUGCAAGAUAAAUGCACCAUUAUGCAGUUCGAACUCCUUGCUAUACGUGAUGCGCUUUUGUGGUUCUCUUCUUCAAACUUCUCCCACAGUAUUAUCCUCACUGAUUGCAAAUCUGGCCUACUGGCCCUUCAAGGGCUUCCAUCUUCUACUUUUCUUCAUUCACUUCUAUCUGAUAUUUAUAUCCUUAAGCAGACUUGCACUACCCUGGGUAAAUCAGUCAACUUUCAGUGGAUCCCCUCCCACAUCGACCUGGUAGGCAAUGAAAAGGCGGAUCGACUUGCUAAACUUCCUACAGGUAUUCCUAUUACUCUUCUGCCCUCUUCCUGUCAAAUAAAAAUAGUACUUAUCCUCUUUCUCUAAAUAAUGAAUUCAUUUCUUUUCUCCAAGAUAUUUCCACCAACCCUCAGCAUCCAGUCUCUUCAAUUACCCUUUCCAAAAAGGGCUACUUGCGCAUCCCCAAAAGAAAGUUGACAUCUGUCUGCGGCAGCUUAGAGCAGGUGCUAUUCUAACUCGUGAAAUUUUAUUUAAAUCUAAUAAAAUAUACUCCCUUCUUUGCCUGCUCUGCAACAUUCCUGACACCCUCGAACACCUGUUUUAUUGCUCUCUUUACUCCGUGCCCAGGAACAUUCUUCAAAAUCAUCUUCUUGCACUUUCUGGAUCUCUUUCUAUCUAUCUCGCACUCUAUUACACUUCCUCAUUCUCAAACUCUAAGGAGACUUCGUAAAGGACUGCAAUUUCAUUAACAUGCUAUAAAUUAUUGUUCCUUUCCACCACCAUCCAUCUCUCUCUAUCUUUCCCCCACCCUUUUCUGCAGCUUAACUCAUUUGAUUGCUUUCCUGCAUUUAAUAUUUGCCCACCAUUCCCUUCUUUCCUUUUCCUUUCUACUCCUACUCUACUUAUCUACAAGGCCACGAGUCCAUAGCACACUUUAUAGCUGGAAAGGAACAAAACUGUUUGACAAAUGCUUUACAACUGGGAAAUAUCCCUUCUAGAUACCGUCAACACCCUGCAUUCAGGACAGACAAAACUACAAAAAAAUGACUUCUUCAGAAGAUCAACACAGAAUCUCCAUAGAAGUUUUUAUGUGGAAAAAAUACUGGAUAAAGUUAGAAAACUACAUAAAGAAUAGUAUUGUGUGAAAAAUAAUGAUGACUUCUUUCAAAGAUCCACAAUGUUCAUAGAAGCUUUUAUGUAGAAAAAUACUGUAGCAGUAAGAAAGCAAGAAAGCUACAUAAAGAAUAUUAUGUGAAAAAUAAUCAAAGUUCCUGAUAAUUGUAUCGAAAGUGUCACAGAAGGCAUCAUACUCUGAUCUUAAAUAACCAUUGAUCAACAGAAAGCAAUCCAUCUUUAGUUUUAAGAAGUAUAAAAUGAGAUGAACAACAGUCAUGCAGAAAAAAAGAGGAAAAUUUUGCUAUAUGGCAGUGAACAGCAUGAAACAGCUGUCUUAUUGAGCCCAAAGAAUAGUUUCUUCGACAUGACUUAUCUAAUUCUUGCCAAAAAUUAUUAUUAUCAUGGGUCCAUGCGUAUAGUUGCUUCAUCUAUACAGCCCAACUAUGUCAGAGUAUCUGAGGAAUAGAAAAUAAGAAGAAAGUUCCUGGUUGAGCUUCAUAAAAGACACCUUGCCUCGAUCUUCAGGAAUCAUCAAUAAGUGCAAACAAUAUGUCUUUACCUUUGAUAAGUCUGAAAAGAGGAAAAGAGUCGAGAGGUGGAAGAAGAGGAAACUUUUGUUAAGUGGCCAGUAAAUAGUGCAAACUCGUCAUCUUUCAAGUUGAACCCAAAGAAUACAAGAAUGAAUGCUGUACCUACUACAACAAUCGUGGAGCCACUAUACUAAGAAAAGAAUUCGAAGAUGAUGUUACCACAUGCACCUUAUGCCAGAGUAUUCCAAGUAUG
rnacentral:lncRNA from 1 species